rnacentral:lncRNA from 1 species
CUUGAGCGGGAGAGGGAGCCCCAGCUCCUCAAGCCCACGGGGCCCCAGCGCAGGGCCUGCCGGGGCGGGAUCCCAGGCCUCCGGGCGGCUCCCUGCAGGCUGCACGUCCCCUCUGUCCCACCUCAGGGUGCAGGGGCCGCGGCCGGGAAGGGGCAUCAGAUCGUCCUGACCAAGCUCAGCCGGACGGAGCUGCUGGAGCACAAAGUCCGACAACUGCUGCUCGCCUUGCAGCGCAGGGACGUCAUCUACGUCCUCAGCUUCCUGGAAGAUUACCAUCAAUUCGCCACCACGGACGAGGUGCUGGACCUGCUGUUCACCGAGUAUGGGUACAUCGCAGAUGCCUGGGGUAACAACGAUGUGGUCCUGCAGUGCUGGAAACUGGCCAUCUCCUUCAUGAUGGAAAUAUGGUUGAAUUAUUAUGGGGACGACUUUCAUCAGUUCCCAGAAUUUCCCUCCCUUAUAAAACUCCUCCAAAUACUAAGACAGCACAUGCCAGGCACAGAUGCGCAUCUCCGGGCCCUGCGUCACCUGAGGCAAUUCAGACGCCUCCAUGCAGCGGAGCGAGAGGCUGGGGCUUUGGCCCGAGGAAAACACCCUGAAUCCACUCUGCAGCGCACGCCAGCUCCGACCGUGGGGCCUGCUGCCCCGUGGGGCCUGGCUGCUGGGGCUGAGGGCUUGGCCUGCGAUGAGCCGCCUGCUGGGGAGGCAAAGCCCCUGCAGAUAGUGGUCACUGCUGCCCUGCAGGAGUCCCCUGCACCCCUGGGAGCCCUGGAUGAGGAGCAGGCGCCACCCCCUGCUCUCGAGGUCGUGGAUGUGCCCCAGCCACCACCUAACUCGAUGGAGCAACUGGCCUCGGGGAUGGAGCAACCCGUUGAGCCACCCGAAGAGCCCGCCCCAGCUCCCACUGUGGAGCCUGGGGAAGGUUCAGGGUCUGAAGGGAUAGUGGCUGCUGGAGAUGAGGACCUGGUCAAGGCAGAGAUGCUGGUUCCUGAGGUGAAGGUGGUGCACGUGUUGGUCGAACCUAUGGUUCCUUGCCACGAUGAGGAGGAGCCCCCUGCUCCCAUGGCCACCCCGGAGGAGUAGGCCCUGGUGCCUGCAAUCGGGGUCCCCAGAGGGCCAGACCUGCAACCUGCCUCUGGAACAACCUGCUUUGACCCGUUAGCAGCCCCCUUAGCAGCCCCCUGACCACCUCAGGGGCCCGCCCCAGCUCCCACCGCGGGGCUCGUGAUGGCUGCAGCCCAACAGGGGCUUGCCCUCCCCUGUUAUUUCACUGUUUCUAUAUUUUGAGUUUUUCUUUAACCUUUAACCUGUAUAAUGGCUUAUAGAAUUUUUUUUUUUUUUUUUUUUUUUUUUUUUAGCCAAAUCUCCUUCGUUUAUCUACCCAAGUCCCAUAGUACAAAUCCCUGGCUUAUAGAGUUUUAUUGUAAUAAAG